CUGUUCAACGGCCGCGGUAUCCUAACCGUGCGAAGGUAGCGUAAUCACUUGUUCUUUAAAUGAGGACUAGUAUGAAUGGCACCACGAAGGUUAUACUGUCUCCUUUUUCUAAUCAGUGAAACUAAUCUUCCCGUGAAGAAGCGGGAAUAAAAAUAUAAGACGAGAAGACCCUAUGGAGCUUUAAACAAACAUACAACUGCCUUCUUUUUAGAUAUUUCAGAAGAAAACCUUUAUUUAGGCAUUUUGAUAUAGAGUUUUAGGUUGGGGUGACCACGGAGUAAAAAACAACCUCCGCAAUGAAAGGGGCUCUUCCCCUAAGCUAAGGGCUACAACCCUAAGAAUCAAAAAAUUGACACCAAUUGACCCAAUAUACUUGAUCAAUGAACCAAGUUACCCUAGGGAUAACAGCGCAAUCCACUUCAAGAGCCCCUAUCGACAAGUGGGUUUACGACCUCGAUGUUGGAUCAGGGUAUCCUAGUGGUGCAGCCGCUACUAACGGUUCGUUUG
rnacentral:rRNA from 1 species